rnacentral:rRNA from 1 species
GACGAACGCUGGCGGCGUGCCUAAUACAUGCAAGUCGAACGCACAGUUUAUACCGUGGCUUGCUACACCAUAGACUGUGAGUUGCGAACGGGUGAGUAACGCGUAGGUAACCUGCCUGGUAGCGGGGGAUAACUAUUGGAAACGAUAGCUAAUACCGCAUAAUAUUGAUUAUUGCAUGAUAAUUGAUUGAAAGAUGCUAUUGCAUCACUACCAGAUGGACCUGCGUUGUAUUAGCUAGUAGGUGAGGUAACGGCUCACCUAGGCGACGAUACAUAGCCGACCUGAGAGGGUGAUCGGCCACACUGGGACUGAGACACGGCCCAGACUCCUACGGGAGGCAGCAGUAGGGAAUCGUCGGCAAUGGACGAAAGUCUGACCGAGCAACGCCGCGUGAGUGAAGAAGGUUUUCGGAUCGUAAAGCUCUGUUGUAAGAGAAGAACGGGUGUGAGAGUGGAAAGUUCACACUGUGACGGUAUCUUACCAGAAAGGGACGGCUAACUACGUG